AAUUUGUGUCUUUAAUCGAGUAAACAUGAUCCAGAUACGAAAACGCUUGAAAGCUGCUAACAACCUGGAUCCUGUCGUAAUUCACCGGAAACAUCAACCACUAACGGAAGACUCAUUAACGGAUCAUGACACCAUGAAGCAAAAUUAAAAGAAAAAAAGCGUCUAAAAUAGCGAUCCGGAAGUAGCUCGUUUAAUCUCCGCCACAUCAAAAAUUGCCUGGCAGAAAAUCGGAACGGAUCGGAACUUCUCACUCAGAAUCCAGUCGACAAAAUAAUUCUGAUAUGUGCCUGGCCACGUCGCUCAUUCCAAUUAACUGGAUGACUAUUUUGUAGGACCUAGUUAAAAAAAACUAAACUUGGCUAUCUUUUGUCGACAGUUGCGAACAAAUCUCGUAGAUCUAGCUGGACUAGCUCAAACCAAGCAGCCUUUUAGUCAGCUCGGUCGCAUCAAUCGAUUCAUUCAAGGCGAAGAGUUUAAAAUCCACCGUCAAAUCAAAGCGCCAGGAGGCGGCGUAAGCUGCUGUGGUCCGGGGAAAUGUUUUCAAAAUAUGUCAUUCAAACUGAACCGAUGAUGAGCACGAAGGUGGCGGAAGCAAUAAUAACUGCAACCUGCAACGAUGGCGAUGGAAUGGGAGCGAUCCACUCGGAAGUACUAAAUAAUUCGAGCAUUACGAGUGGCAGUUCGAUCGGAGUUCUACAACCGGCUACGCCAGAUGGUGUAUCAAUAUUACGAACAAACGAUGAAAGUUACCAGUGCGUGGGGACAUUUGCUAGGGAAACAAUGAUACAUGCAAAUGUAAGAAAUGUAGCAAGGGACAAAGCAAGAAGGCAGAUACGGCCACCUGCAAACAAUGUAGCCGAUUUUUCGAUAUGUCGGCAACGACACCCCGGCGCUGCAUGCAUGGAAAUGCACAACUAAGAUCAGCGUCCAGUAGUACACAAUUUCCGAGUUGCUUCUGUAUUUCCUGUCCGUCGGUGGCAUGUCAGAAAAAAUAUCCGUUCUAGAAACCUGUGCAAGCAGAUGCUGAUGCACUUCAACAAAAUGCCCCACCGUGGUGACUAAUUUGGCAAAUGCUUUUUAUGCUUCGGCAGUCUAUUGGCAUCAAUAAAAAAAAUCUGGCAAAGAAAAUGUUCUAAA